GUCCCAAAUAGUCAUGAAAUUCGACAAAGCCCUGGGUGAUUUGUUCCGGCUCCAGAUGCCAUAAGCCGAACUCGCGCACGCCGGGAGAAUCAAUGACAUCGCCGCCAUGCGGGAAAUGAUACAGACGAGCAGCGGUAGUGGUAUGUUGACCCAGACCGGAGACAUUCGACACAUCGUUCGUCAGAAUCUCGUUCUGUAAGCCGAGCAGAGCGUUUAGCAGACUGGAUUUUCCGACGCCGGACUGCCCGGCAAAAAUACUGAUGCGACCGGUUAACGCUUCUUCCAGCGGUUUCAGACCAUCCUGCGUAUGGC
rnacentral:misc_RNA from 1 species